rnacentral:rRNA from 1 species
UACAGAGGUCUCAAGCGUUGUUCGUAUUCAUUGGGCGUAAAGGGUGCGUAGGUGGCUCGCUAAGUCAGGUGUGAAAUUUCGGAGCUUAACUCCGAAACUGCAUUUGAUACUGGCGUGCUUGAGGACUGGAGAGGAGACUGGAAUUCACGGUGUAGCAGUGAAAUGCGUAGAUAUCGUGAGGAAGACCAGUGGCGAAGGCGGGUCUCUGGACAGUUCCUGACACUGAGGCACGAAGGCCAGGGGAGCAAACGGG